rnacentral:ncRNA from 1 species
UCUUAUCAAGAGAGACGGAGGGACUGGCCCUGCGAAGUCUCAGCAACCAGCCAACUGGCCGAGGUGCUAAUUCCAGGAGGUGCAUGCGCAUCUCGCAAGAUGAGA